CCUAAUAACUCUGUGAACCGUAUGAAAGAAGCAAUAUAUUGACAAUGGAUUCAAGGUGACAAUAGACAACCUUUGCUCAACUCCUAGCCACAUGGGUAUAUAGUAAAUAUUAGUCAUCUAGUGCACACACAAAACACUGAAGUUUCAUGGGAGUGCUACCAAAAUAUCUUGUUGUCCAAAGUCCACUGAAGACUCCAUAACAUUUCAUGAUAAAUAGCCAAUCAGUAGCUUCAUUGUUAGGAGGUGCUAUGACACCAUCAAAGAAAGGGCUUUUGCCAUCUAGGCCUACACUUCAUUUCUUCUUUCCCACUCUACAGAGAUAUUCUCCACUUUUUUUUUCUUUUUUGGAAUUGCCAUAUUUGCCUACCGAAUUCUCCCAAAUAUGGUAUUCACUAGGCAUACACCUUCUUAAUCAUUUCAUCAUCAGUCUUCUAAUGGUAUUCUGCAUUCUUUCAGCACAAAGCUUUAAGGUCUUUUACAAAUUAUCAGUAGAAGUAAACAGAACCUGGGGAUAGAGAGCCCAAUAUUAUUCAGUUUAAUCCAAACAAACUAUUGAAACAAUGACUACUCCCCUUUUUUUCUUUUGUCUUUUUUCAAACCUCUGUGAGAUGUUUAAAUGUUUGAUUCACAAUUAUGCUUGCAAAAGUCUCUGUUUUUGUUCCAAAUUUUGCAUAGGGAAUUUGUGUGACUUUAGAGCAGUUGUUAUUGUGCCUUUAGUUAGGUGUAAGAGCAGACUAAGGAGCUUUUAGGUGCUGUAUAUUUUAAAUAUGUUGCUGGUAUUAUCUUGCAAGAAAUAGCUCCCAGGUUUGGGACAUACAAGUCUAACAUGUUAACUGAUAGCUGCACCUAACUAAAUUGAAGGAGUGGGGGGUUCUCCAGAAAAGCUCAGGGUCUGCUGUGGUAACAGGGGGCAUUUAUAUAUGUGUUCUGGGAGUGGGAGGGAGGCGCUUUAAUUAGAGUAGCCCCAAGAGCUGCUCUAAUUAAAGUGCCUGGAGUGUCUUGUGUAUCAGCAUCCUUGUGCUGAAAAAUGGGAGCAGGGAUGCUUUAAAUAAAGCUUGUUGCACAAUAGGAGGCAUUGUUUCACAAUAGGAGCUCUGUUUAAAACAUUUCCACCGCCAUUUUUCAGCUUGGAGACACUGAUACACAAGAUGCUGGAGUCUGCUGGAGUAUGAUAAUUCAUGUAUAGGUGCCUGGAGAAUUUAAUGUGCAUUAACUAAAGUGUGUUAAUGCACAUGUAGAUACUAGGAUUCCCAGAGGGAAGGGAGCCUGCUAGGCUUUGUGAUUGAUGGGAGAAGGAGCCAGAGUUAUACUGGGAUUUAUGGGAGGAGGAGCCAGAGAUAAAGUUUCAUUUGUAUCUGUGCCUAUGGAGCUAUAAAAAAAGGACUUGGGCAUGUAGAAAGAACAAGUCCAGGUACUCUGAUACAUACAAGCCUGAGCUGAGUUUUGACACUCUUCCAUCUAAUGCCUUUGAGGAGUAAAUAUUUUGAGAACAAAUCCAAGUUGAAAUCUGAGAAAUCACACAUCCAAAAUCCUUUGUCAAAGCUAAUAUUUCCAUAAAUUACUUAGACUUCAUAUACAUCUUGGAACUAAGUUGAUCUAUAUUGACACAAUGAUUACAAAUUCUUGAAUGCAACUGUAGGAAACACUAUUAACAGUUGGAAGAAAGCAGAAUGCCUCAAUACUGUAAGCUAGAUCCUCAGCUGGUAUAAAAUGACAUAGUCCUGCUGACUUCAGUGGAGCUCUGCUGAUUUAAACCAGCUGAGGAGCUUCCUUACAGGAUGACCAACUAGGAUAAUUGUGUGUAGCAUUUUUGUACCUGGUUUCUUAUCCAGAUUUUUCUUUUUAAUUAAAAUAUAAGCCAUAACUGCAUAAAUCCAUGACUUUAAUGGCAAUCUGGCCAGAAUAAUGGUCCAGUUCAUGCAAAUCUGCAAGUGAGUAAUUUUAUGCCUAUGAAUAGUCCUAUGUAGUGCAUGCAAGUGCUUGUUUGCAGACUCAGGUUCAACAGUAAAGAAUUCAAGAGUGAGCAUUUUAGAAUAAUUCACUAGGGCUUUGUAUUUUUUGGUUAUUGGUAUUGUGGAAGUGCCUACGGUUCCCAGUCAUGGACCAGCACUCCAGUGUGCUAGGCACUGUACAAAUACAGAAUUUUUUUUUAAAAGGUCCCUGCCCCAAGAGCUCAGCACCUAAGCAGCACUGUUUUCCUUUUAAUUGAUAAUUGUUCUUUCGAAAAAAGCAUGCAGCAAUUUAGAUUCAGUUUCCUUGUAAGAUAGUUGAUGGAUUUUUCCCAGCAAGAUCUCCUGUGCUUCUUUCUGUUAAAAAUGUCUAGUAACUAUUAAUUCUUAUAAAAGGGAGGAGAGUUGUUGUUUUAUUUCCAAAUCAGAACAGAUGUAGAAUAGGGAUUUUGAAGAGCAUGUAAGAGACUUGCAAGCAGAAGUCUUGUUGAAAGAUGUUAACCCCCUCCUAUUAUUAUCAGGCUAACCAGAAGCCACAGAGUAAAAAUCUCUUUUGUACAAGGUGACUUUCCACCAUGGGAGUCUUCAACACUAAGCCAAUGCCCUGCCAAGAAGUCACAGAUGUUCUUCACAUGAACAGGUGACUGUGGUUGUGAGGAGUGUGAUGACAGUUCUAUCUAUGCCUACAGUGCCUGUGUCUAUGUCGAGGUGCACUUGUCCACCUGCUCAGGCACAAAUGUAACUCAGCAAUAUAGGAAUACUGAACCAUGACGUGCAUUUAAAAGGGUAUGUAUUACAAAGGAACUGUUACCAACAAGACAAUGACAGGAGGUAAGAGGAAAUUUAAGCAGUCAGCAGUCUAACCAGGCAAGCUAAUGGCAGUUCAUUGUGCUGCCACACAGGUGUUAGAGCUCAGUUUUUUCCUUGCAAGUCCAGCAAGGAUUGGUCCCUGGAGGAGUGUCUGCAUUGGUUCCAAGAAAUACCCUGCAGCUGCCUUGGAUUAGCAGGCUCUGGAGAGAGUCAAUGUAUAUUUGGCCUUUCUCAGCAUGAAGCUCAAUGCAGGAAGGGAAGUCAAAGACAAACAUAUGCAUGCCUGAUGACUUGGAACUUUUGAACCUAAAAAGAAGGCAACAGAAAGGUCUUGAAGUACCAGUUUAAAAUAAAGUCAAAAUCAGCUGUUUUACAAGAGCCAAAUUGACCCCAGGGAGUUCAGUGGAGUCACAGCAGUGAUUAUUUGACUGCCAAGACUACAGGCUAAAUUAAUCUUGUCUCUAAAGAAGCAAAUCCACAGCCUUUCAGCAGAAUCAUAGAACAGGAGGUUGGAAGGGACCACCAGAGGUCAUCUAGUUCAACCCGCUGCCAGAGGCAGGAUCAUCCUUAUCCAAGCCAUCAUAUACAAAGGUUGAGCACCACUUGUCUAACCUAUUAGCAAAACUACACCGUAAACCCUGGCACAACCACUGUAACCCGAUGCAGGUAAAGCAGGGGUACCACGGUGGCUCAUGUUCUGCUGUUGCAAGGAAGAGGGCCCCUGCUAAAGAAAAAGGAGAGAGGAAUCUACUAGGGGAAGAAAAAGUGCACUCCACUAUGCCCUGGGUAGGAAAGAUAUCUCAUUGAAUACCACUGUCUUCUUCCAAAGACCCUUCCACAGAUGCAUCUCCCAAAUUCAGGCCUGAUCAUGCUGGGCACCACCAAUAAGAGUCAGAUGAAGUACUCCUGACUGGGCACCUGUCUGAGCCUCCUCUUUGGCUGUUUACACGGUAAAGUUUAUAUUGUCCAGUACAAACCAGAGUUCUGUUUUACAGCAAACUGGUGCCUGUGCUGUGUUGGCAUAUGUGACUCCUGUGUUCAGAAAGUGAUUUGUCACUUUUCAUAUGAAAACAAACUGAUACUUUUAUGGUGACCAAUACUUAGAAUACAAUUCCUGCCAUUAUGAAUGUGUUCUUCCCCAGAUAUGCCAGACGUAAGCUUUUUGCUUACCUUUCCUUUGUCUACUGAAAAUGAAGUCUGAGUUAUUAUUCACCCAGUUCCAGUGAGUCAUUCUACACCCUUGAAUUAUUUCUGACAUAUGUGAAAUACCUUCCACUGAAUUCCUACUCUGGAGAGCCCUUUGCCUGACCGGUUUAUCAGUGAAUGCUACCAGACUCAUCGUUUACUAUGCAUCACCAUCAUGGCAUGUGCAAUACUAAACAUGAUGACAAGACCAACUAGACCCACCCAUUUUAUUUCUGUAGCCCAUAUCUUCAAGAGCCUUGUGCAGCCGCACCAAUCUCAUGCACAAGAGAAAGAAGUUUGUCCUGGGAAGAGGGGCAGGCAGCAGGACUGGUUCUCAGCACUACAUGUAGAAGGAGGAAAUUGGGUCUGUACAAGAUGCGGUUGGGUUGUUCAUGCAGAGAGAAACAGUGAGGCCUAAAUACAAUGUAUAAGGAAUACAUUUCUGCUGAAUUCUGGCUUUAUUUUCACAGCUAAAUAAAAACUGUACUUUUCCUAUGGUGUAAUUAAUGUGCAGUAGCUGUCCUACUGUACAAGCCUAGUGGAGAAAAAGGCCCUUCCAUAUUAUUGUAACAUAAAGCAGGGAAGGGCAGCCCAUAUUCCUCCCCUGCCAAAGGUGGGCAUUAGCUAGUUUGCCUCACUGUAAAAUGAAAUUGCCUUGUCAUGAGUAAAGCUCCAAGUCCUGGAAAAGCCAAGCUCAGUGUACUUCCCUGGGUUUGAAUACUCUGCAGCAUUUGUGGUGGUAGCAAUUACUUAACUGGCAGGGGAGAUACCAUGAUCAAGAAGGUAGGGAGAUAGAUACCAUGAUCACCAAGUUGGUUCUCCCAGGGAGAGAGAAUUAUAUUCCAGGCAGGCUGACCCCUGUGAGUUUUUCUGAGUGCAGGAAACUCGACUGCACAAUUCUUUGGCAACGUGGCUUGCUUCUCAGCCUUUUGACUAGACGCAAACAUGCAUGACUAGGGAGAAUCUGAAUCCCAAGGUCGCUGGACUUGCACAUGGGAUACCUGCCAUGGAUCUGGGGAAUAUCCGAAGGCCAAGACAUACAUCUGGAGGAAGGAUACUUGACCAUUAGUACAGCCACACACACAGACUUGAAUGAUGAAGUUCUGCUCAGUUGCAAUUUGGAACUUGGCUUUGCCUAAUAGAAUUCGGAGCUGAUUUGGCCCUUGAAAUAAGUUUAAAAAAAUUGUUGUGAUAGAUGGUUUAGUAGGUGCCCAGGGCUCAAAAAGAUUACACUGUUUAACAGGUUUCAUUAUGCAUUACUUGGCCCAUAGCAAGAAAAUAUACAUGCUAAUUCAAUUAUUAGCUAUCAAUUAGUUCUAAUAUUAAAGCUCUGUCUUGUACAUGCUGUUUUCUUAUUAAAGGACAGCUGAAUUGAAUACCCAUAACUUCAGCAGCAGUAUAAAACUUGCUUUCAUUAGGAAAUGAGGCUGAUGUGCAUCAGCUGGAGAUUGGAUUCUAAUGCUGCCCACAAGACAUAGUAAGAUCUAGUCCAAUGUGUGAUUGAAGGAAGUGGCUCUACUAUUCAAAAGCAGGAGCUUAGGAUCUGUUCUAGGGAAGGUGGUGCCAUUUAAACAAAAUCUUGGUUAGUUUAAAAGUGGAUUGAACUUUGGUUAAUGUUAAUUAUCAUUUUUUUUUGAUCCUCAAGAACUUCCAGAUGUGAAUCUUUGACUUGCAAUGAUAAACCUGAUUUCUUCAUUCUUUUCAGCACAACCUGUUUGAUUAUUAGUUAUUGCUUGGUGUUAACUUGAUUUGUUUUAAGGCCGUGUUCUUUAUGCUUAAAUGUAGUGAAUAGACUAUGUUUUAUAUUGCACUUAUCUCUUAUUUUCUUGACGACUUGUAAUUUAGACAUGUCUUGUGUGUGCAUAGGGCAAUGGAUUUCUACUUGUAUGCAGGUGACUAAAUAUGUACAUUUUUCAUAUGUAUUAUCUUGAGGGGAUCUACAUGGGACAGCAGUAGGAGCUGAUCUGUCAUUUCUCUGUUCUCUGUAAAUCCACUGGAUUGAGACAGCUGGAUAGAAACAAUCAAGGUGUCAGUUUUGGUCACAUUUUUUUGUCAUGUUCCUUAGCUAACUCUGUUUUAUGCAUUCAAAAAUAACUUCAGUGUGAACAGGACUAGACUUCCCUCAAGCUCAUUUAAGAAAGAGGAGCUGUACACAUACCAGUAUUUCCUGGGGUAAUAACCCUUCACAUUCUUUGUGGAGUCAGAGUAAUUACAGUAGAAGUCUAGAAACUUCUUGGUUUGCUCUUACUCCUUGGGUAGCUGCCUAGGGCAGUGUGAGCCAGCUAACAGCUGUGCAGGCACUCCCCUAGGAGUAGUCAGGUAUACGAAUCCCCACCCUAGUAAAGGUUACAGAGGAUAAAGCCACACAUUCUGAAGGAAUAAAGAGCCUCUUUGCUUGCUUGUUCCCAAAGGAGCUUUGCUAUAAGAAGCAAGCCAAACUUGGACCUGAUUCCACAAACUUCUCCUUCCCCAAGUACCCUUACAGGAGUCAGUAACAUUCCUCCUGUGAAUAUGGGAUGUGGGAUAAUGACCCUUGCUAUUCAUUCUUAAAGGAGCAAUACUAUUUUUGCAUGUAAUGCUAAAAUAUGAAUGUAUUAUAUAUAGUAUAUUGGCAUCUCCCUUAGAAAUGCAUGUUACAAAAAGUGAACUAUCAGACGCAUAUAGUAUACCUAGAAAAUGCUCACAUUUUCCUUAUUUGAAAUGCUUAGAAUGUCCUCAAUCUGUAUUAUCUUUAGUGAUUUCCCUGGUAGCUUGGAAGCUAACUUUACUUGUGCCAAUAGUGAAUGUCAGCCCAUAGGCACUUAAAGUGUCAAAUAUACAACUAAAACAUAUUUUUUUUAUCACAUUACAGCUGCUGACUAUUGCAGAUUUGGACCAUGAAGCCCAUUAAAGCUUCUGAGAUCAAAUGAAAAACUAAAUUAUUUACAACACAGCACAAACAUAUCCUGUAAAUACAUUAAGGCAUUUUGUUUGUGGUAUGCACUAAGGCCAAUCUAAUAAAUUGUACUUAUUAUAUUCUCUAUAUAUUUUGCAAGUGCUUUAAAGAUACCUUCAAAAUAAAAUGGCUUAGUAUGAGAUAUUGACUUAGGAUGAUAAAAUAUAUUUAUUCAUAAUGUACCAACAUUUUCCCAAGCUGCUUUUUGUAUUAUUCUCUUUGAGGAUGUUUCUGAGAUGUAGAAAUACUCAUGUUUUAAUAGGUCAGACCCCUAUACUACUGAAAUCAGUGGGUACAAGAUGGGUGGACUGGCUCCUAGAUUGAUCCUUAAAGCAAAAUAUUAGCUUUGUUGUUGUACUAGAAAGAACUCCUCUAUUCUUCACAAUGCAGCUGUAUCCUGAAAAUGGUAUAAAAUAAUUAUGUUCAGUAUAGCUGGAGUAACACUAACAAAUGGCUACCAUUUAAACGUGAUGGUGCAUGUACCAUACUUAUGGUCAUUUUUUUGCUUGCAGAGUUUGCAUCCAAACCCACCAGAGAAAGGAAAUGUAUUAUUUAAAGAAAAAUCAGGUUAAGAUAUUGUUGCAAUGACCCUGAUGAGUGUUUUUUUUUCCUUCAGUUGAAACUAAGCUUCAAUAAGGCAUAAUGGGACAGAUUUUCCAGCCCACUCAAGCACAGCUGUUGCACAGUAGAGACUGGGGGCUGUCAGGGGUCUGUUCAGCUCCCUGGUUCUGAAAUACCCGACCCUGGCAUAAGUUAAAGGUUCAGAAAAGCAAGUCUAACUCUCAUUCGCAUUAUAUCAAUGGUGGAAGAUGUGGAAAGAAACACUACUCUAUCCUACUGCUCCCCAGUCCCUACUCUGUCUCUGGUACACUGCAACUUACCUCCAGUAUUUCUGUAUUCCUACACUGGGCAAGAGUGUGCAGCUGAUGAUACAGACAUCCUUGCCAGACUUUCUGCUGACAGAAGGUUCCCUACUCAGGAAGAUUUAGCACCAGGUAUCUCAAGACAGAUCAGGUCUACUUUGUGCUGCAUUAGGUUCCAGUCCAUGUAGUAGCAAUGAGUCAGGCUAUAGUGUGGUAGAUUAGUACCAAGACCUCAGACCCCUUGUCUAUUGUACUACUUAAUGAGUGUGAGCACCUGCUCUUUCCUCAUAUUGGACAUGCAUGAAUGAGAUCUUCUACAAGUGGAUUCUCCAUUAUCCAUGCUGAAGGAGGGAAUGCUGCUUUGUGAACCCCCCCACCACUUGUGCCCCUGAUUCCCCUACAAUAUCACAGAAGCCUUUUGGAGCCAGAUUUUGUGGGGUGGAGCUGAGGUAGGAAAAGGCAAAGCAGACCUCCUGGAUUCCUGCAUGGAAAUAACAUCAAGAAUGAAUGUUGCUUAGAGCAGACUAAAUCACUCUGGGAGUGGGCCCCUCUGUGAUUGGUACACAGCUGUCAAUUUACCAAUUUCUACAUGGUUCAUUUGGAAUUAUGGUGCAUCAGGAGAGGGGGAACUCAGCCAUAAGGACAACAGCUAUGCAUGCAGGAUAAGAUCUGUCUCAGAGAGUCAAGUGACUUUCCUGCAUUAGCUGGAUCCAUGAGGCCGGAAGCCAUCAUUCCCUGUAGAUUCUGGGGCCCUCAAUACCCUUCCCUUGGUAUACCCUAAGAUCAUCUCUCUCUUGUUCUUAAUGCAGCACUACCAUUUUUCAGUACCAUGUCUCCUCUUUUAUUUUAUUGACAUGGAGAAUCUUGAAAGGGUACAGAGAAGGGUCACAAGAAUGAUUAAGGACCUGGAGGACGAACCUUAUGAGGAAAGACUAAGGGAUCUGGGACUGCUCAGCCUGGGGAAGAGAAGACUGAGGGGGAACUUGGUGGUGGUCUAUAUGUAUGUAAGGGGUGAAUAUCAGGAGCUGGGAGAAAAAACUGUUCACUAGGGCACCCUCAGGGAGGAUGAGGAGCAAUGGCCAUAAACUGUUAGAGGAUGGUUUCAGGUUGGAUGCAAGGAAGAACUUCUUUACGUCAAGGGUGACCAGAAUCUGGAAUAGACUUCCCAAGCAGGGGGUGCAGCCCCAACCUUGGAAGUCUUCAAGAGGAGACUGGACAAACACGUUGUUGGGAUCAUUUGAUCUCAGCAGUUUUCCUACCCAGAGCAGGGGGGUUGGAGUCGAUGAUCUUUCGAGGUCCUUCCAGCCCUUAAUUUCUAUGUUUCUUAUGAUUCUAUGAUACCAUUUACUGCCAAUUCCUGUAGAGGAGUUGCAACUAGCCAAAUAAUGUGCAGAUUUACUUUUGUGCAAGAGGACAGAAAUGUAGUUUAAAUACAUUACUGUUUCAUCAUUUGGUAAUUAUUUAGCUCACUUUGGUGCAUUACACUAAGCUCAGUGAAUGAAAAGCAUGAUACACUGUAAGUGCUAAAUAGAAUGUAUUAUUGCAAAGUAAUUUAACUAAUAUAAUAUCUGCCAAUUUAUGCGUAUUUAUGAGGUCAAAGAGUUCAUAUUCCUUCAGGUCAGAAGACAGAAUGAGUGUGAUCUCAUCCUGAUGCCAGUUUCUCCACAUUACAAAACCACCAUGUAAAGUGGCACAAUUGCUUGUCUCUAAGCAAGGACCAAGACCAAGCACUUCCUUUGCAACAGAAGAGCUGGAGGGAGCAAAAAUUUUAUUAUGCUCCUCAAAGUUCACUAAAAUCAAGUUUUGCAUCUGCAGGUCUCAUGAGUUUGGAAGAUUGGAUGCACUUCAUCCCUAUUUCACUGAUGGGAUAACUGAGACACAAAAAGGGUGCAUGCACAGUGGGAGCAAGGAGUGGCUGAGACUAUUUAGACUUUUUUUUCUGGUUCAGACCACAGGAACACAGGAAAUUAAAGAAUCUGCUUGAUUGCAGUGGUACAAACCAUGAGUCUCAUCCAAGACAUGUACUAACAAGAAGGCUAUCAUUAUUUGCAACAACUGAGAAGAUAAUUAGAAACCUACCAAUGCUACCGUCAUAUUUCCUGUCACAAGAAGAGGAUGACACACCAAAAAUGGAUUUGGAAAUCUUUGCUGACAGCAAAAGUGGGAAGAGUAUAGCAUGAACCUCCUCUGAUAUAAUCAUAUUACAAUAUUCAGCAAUCAUGAUUCUAACAUAGCUGUAACAAUUGCAUUCCUGAAAGCACAAAGCCUGCAUCUUGUUUCAAUGAAAGCUUUGCCUGAGUAAGGACAGUAGCCCACAGUGUUUUCAGCCUUUGAAGACUACAAUAGCUUAUUUUAGGCCAUUAAUUCAGAUUCUUCACAGCCAUCAGCAAAGCCAAUGACUGUAAUAUAAAAUUUGGACAAAGUUGAAUAUCUUUAUCUAGGGAGCUACUUUUUUGUUUUUGCUGGCUUUUUUAAAGCUGCAGAAAGCUACUUCUGGGAACUGAAUAUGAGCUUUUGUUCUACUUACGGUAUUUUCAUUAUAUUCGUUUCUUGCAUGUUAAAUGAAAACAGUAAGCAGAUUUUUAGUGGAUGUAAAUCAGUUUUCUUUAAUGGAACUAUGCCAAUUUACAAUAGCCAGCAGAUCUGGCUCUAGAUCUCAUGUCACUUUGCUUGGAUGCAUUAAAAAAAUUUAGUAGAAAAAUGUGAACAUAUAGGCUAAGUGCAGACAGUCAGAAAGCCUAAAGCUGAAUCGAUUCAAUCUUUGCAGGUUAGUUUAAACUGGGGGUGGGGUGCUAGAGCACAUCUCCCUGCUUAGCUGGAGCAAACAGUGUGGGCCAAGGCUACCCCGCCUACCCUGUGUGGGGGUGGGGAGUUUGCGGGGGAGGUGCAAAGCAUCCUGGGAUGCUGGGGGACUAUGAGUUAGCUUGAAUCUGGAGCGGACCUGGGACAGAAGUUCAAUAAACUGAUUUAACGUAAAUCAAUUAAGUCUGGUACUACAUCUAUCCAGGUUUAUGUUAAAUUGGUUUCAGCCAUUUUAAAAGCAGUUUAUGUGCAUUGAACUUCUGUUGUAUUACAAAUUUGAACUGGUUUCUGAUCACUGACACCAGUUUAUGUGUAACUUCUUUCCCUAACUGAAGAAAAAAGCCAUUGAUAUGCAAAUGAAUUGCCCCAAUAUAUACCAAGCUCUUGUCCCUGGAAAAACAGUGGUAGCUUUUUUAAUGGCUGUACUGUACAUUGGUGCUAAUAAUUCAAAAACAAAACUGAGAGCAAUUAUAAAAUGUUUGAGGGAAAAGUUUAUAUAGUCCAUCUUCUCUGGUAUAACAUCAGUGAAAAAUAAUAUCUAAAAAAAAUCCAAGCUAUCUUUAAACCCACUGGCUUCAAGGGUGUUACUGAAGCUCUUUCCUUCAAUAAUAAAAUGGAAGUGAACAAGGACAGGUUCUUUCAAGAUUACUCAUUGACCAGAGCUGUCAUGCCUGAGCUUGUAAAACAGGAUCUCUGUCCUCUAUGGAAAAAUGACACACGAUUUCUAGAACUAUCAUCUCUUCCUUAUAUCUGCCCAUAUGCGAUAAAAAACUCUGCUCUUCAUAAUUAUUAUUACUAUUUAAUAUUAUUGUAAUACCAAAGUGUCUAGGAGUUCCCCACUUUUAUGGGUGCUAUAUAAAUAUCAAACAAAGACUGUUGUUCCCCACAGAGCUUCAGUAACCAUGUGAUGUUCCUACUGAUGCUAAUAGGACUAAGUGCAGGAAUAAGCAAAGCAGAAUGUGGCCUGUAAUUAGGAUCCCACUGUCAAAUGCUUUGUCACAGGGGUUUUUUUCUUUUAUAAUUCAGUGGAGUAAACCAUUGUAGAGUGGAACUACUCCAAAUUGGGACUAGCAUCAAUAUUAACUAUACUGUGGUGGUGUGUCAUUUUAAUAGUUCAAGAACAAGACAAAUGUGAAAGGCAUUAAGGUUCAUAAUUUAAAAAGCAAAAACAGCAUUACAGGGUUCUCAUCUUCAUGUAAGUGUAUUUGAAUUAUGGAAGGAAUUAAUUUACAUAGAGCUACACCUUCUACAAGGUAAGAGAUUAUAUAUACCUGUUGCUUUACGUUUCUCAGUAUAUAACCCAAAUCACUAGAUUCCUGUAUUUCUUGUUGAUUUUCACUGCCCUCAGCUUGGCUUUGCAGAAGUAAAGCCCAGAUCCAUAUGCUGCAGUCAUAUGGCUGUAGCCCCAUUCACUUCCUUGGAGGUGAAUUACUGUGAGAGUAGGGUUUGGCCUGCAGGUUUUAAAUGAUGAUCUACACAAGAAAUUCUGGGACUAAGGCCAGAUUCUCAGCUGCAAUUCACUGGUGUUGCUCCGCUGAAGUCAAUGGAGCAACAGUGAUCACUAGCUGAGAAUUAGGUUCCUGGAGUCUAGCUUAUUUCCCUCUUCUGCACAGGGAGAGAGACAGGGAUAGGGAGAAACAACAUGCAUGAAGUGGGAAGGUAGAAUAGAAGGAAAGAUGGAAAGUAAAGCAUCUCCCUACUGUCUUUACUUUCCCACACCUACCUUUGGUGGCAUCCUUUGCUCUGCUUUACCUUUGCUGUGAUUGUCUCCUCUUCUCUUCCUCAUCCUGAGGAAUACAGUAUUAUGAUAAGCUAACAAAAGCUUUUAUCGAGUCCUUUAAGUGCCAUUAGCCAGCUUUCACCCAUAUCCUGUAUUAUAGGGAUGCACUUGGAAAAUUACAUAUGGCUUUCAGUAGGCCAACUUGGCAUUAAAUUUGGCCAACAUGCAUUAUAUCACCACUAUGCAUUUUAUAUGCUGCAUAACCUUAUAUAACAUACAUGGCACAGCUCAUGUCUAGUGGCUAGAACUGGAGUGGGGAGACAGGAACUCUUAGCCUAGGGACAGAAAUUACACAGAAACCAGUAUAAGUGAUCAGAAGCUGGUUCAAAUCUGUAACACAACAGAAGUUGAGUGCACAUAAACCACUUUCAAAAUGGCCACACCCGGUUUAAGAUAAACCUGGAUGGAUGUAGUAUCAGACUUAACUGAUUUAGGUUAAAUCGAUUUAUUGAACUUCUGUCCCAGAUCCCCUCCAGAUUCAAGUUAACUCACAGCCCCCUGGCAUCCCAAGAUCCUUUGCACCUCCCUCACAGACUCCCUCCUUGUAGGGUGGGUGCACUAGCCUUGGCCCAAGCUGUUUGCUCCAGCUGAGCAAGGAGGCUUGCUCUAGUGCCCCUUAGCUUCUGGCCUGGGCCACUGCAGAAAUGCAGCUACAUUUCUGGAAUCAAAAGUGAAUAUCUGUUCACUUACUUAAUGGUUCAAUCUAUGCAGCUUAGACUAACCUGAGAAGAUUGAAUUGAUUCAGCCUCAGACUUUUUGAUUAUGUGUACUUAGCCUUAUAGUUUAAUCUUAAAUCAGCCAUUGACUUGCUCUGUAACUUGAAGCAAAUCAUCUGAAAUAUGUGCCUUCGGUAUUCCUGUUUGUAAAAUUAAGAUAUUUACUCACCAGCUUUGUAGCCUGGUUCCUGUAAUUUUCACAGAAUCCUUCUAUUAUUUGGGUCUUUUUCUAAUUUUAUAAUUUAAUCACUGUGGUUUCUGUUAUGAAGUGCCAGCUCAGAGUCCUAACCAUUCAUAAAAGCUCUUGCUGUUACAUUCAUAACAACAACUAAGCUACCAGGUUUGCCCUAAUAUUUUAUGGAGAUACUUCCAAAAUAUGGAUAGUUGUGCUUACUCAGGGUAUGUCUAUACUGCAGCUGCUGCAGUCAUGGUAGCUCACAAAGACAUACCUCAGGUAGCUUAUGCCCUGCUAGCAGUGUAAUCCUUAGAAGGGAUAUUUGUGGGUGUUUAGGCCUGUCCUUAGUUACUUGUUUCAUCCUUUUUACAGGGAUGUGUGAAUUUACAAUACUGUACAAAUAGCAAAGCACAUUAUUCACUCAGCUAGUUAUCUCUGCCCUUAAUUAAAGGCAUGUUAAAAGAAAAAAAUUCAGUUCCAAAUGAAUUAUAUGUUCUAAAUAAUGAGGAGGCUAAAGCAUCUUUGAUGUAGACAAUGGAAUGGGAUAGUCAAAUACCUGGGAUUCUCCCUACUAUAUAAAGAAACUUCUCUCUCUGAGACAUAGUGCUGUUUUUCUACAGUCUUCAUAAUUCAAAUAGUAAAUUCUAAUGCUGGAAGACCAGGAUCUUCAGGAAAUACUUUUUCCCCUCUCCUUCAGCCAAUCUUCUCUUGGUAUGGUUAUGUCAUCGAAAAAUUAUACACUAUGACUUAAUGUUGAAAAGAAGCCAAAAAUUCCUGAACCGGAGAUAUCACAAUGAAACAGCUUACGAGCUAACUUAGUCAUAAUGUACAUUACAGAUCAGUUGCUUUAACAGUGUAUCAUGGUGUAUGAGUAAGUUAGUAAGUGCCAAUCCAAACAAAUGCUAUUGUCUGAGCAGGGAAGUCCACAUAACUCAUAUUAAAUAAUCAAUUCCAAUCUAUCCACAGCCUUAGUAAUGCAGAAGAUAUAUGUUUUCAAUCUGCAAACAUUAUAUGAAAAAUGAAAAAGAAAGCAAAAAUAAGCCAAAUCUGUUUUGACCUACAAUAGGGUUGUGCAAGAGAUCCAUCAGAAAACACUUUUAAUCCAGUUUCUGCAGCAGCUAUUCUGAAACUUUUUCCUUUUCAGUGGUAUAAACUGUGCAUGCGAUUUAAACUUUUUAUUGUGUUUAGAAAGAGGAAGGGAGGGGAGGAGGGAAAUAGAGGUGAAUAAACAGCUGUGAGAUUCAGUAAUCCAGAGAAAUAAGCCACAGAACCAGACAACUUCUUCUGACCCUUGUAUAGAAAAUGAGAACACGGGUUUUUAAAUCCAUAAUUUUAUCAGGAACAUAAUAGUAAUCCACUGUAUAUUUGCAGAACCUCUAACAGUAGUGUAUCCUAUCUUUAAGAGUAUGGUGUUUGGUCAUUGAAGUCUGCAGUACCUUGAAUUAGAACAAGAUUUCUAACAUUUUCCUGAUAUUUAGUACUCAAAAAUGCAGUAGUGUGAGGUGGAUUAAAAUUUCAACACACAACCUACUUUUUCUAAUAUUUGGAAGACUGUUACAAUGACCAGUCAAAACCAUUUGGAUUCCCAGCCUAAGUCAGUGUUUGAAUUAUAUUUAAUCUUUGUAUCUUCUUCUAAUGAAAAAACACAAUAGAUCAAUGCCAUAUAUGGAGUACUCAAUAACCAUCCAUUGUCUUAGUUGCAGUGUCAACAACUGUUAUUCCAUGUCAUAUCUCAACACUUUUGUAGCAUAUUCAUCUAAAUUUCAGUGAACUAAAAUUUUGUUAAUAAUUCCAUAAAUUCUAAUCAAGAAUUGUCAGCCAGUCAGAUUUAAGCAAGUUACCAACAAUGCCUGUACUCGAUCAGCAUUUCAACAAAAGAAGAGGAACUAUACAUUACAAACACAAAACACAAAAUUCAAAUAUCUCAGUGGCUCCAGUUUUCAAUACAGCUUUCAGCUGAAGUGUUGCUGAGUCCUUUAAUUUCACUCAGGACUUCAGUAUAAUUUUCAACUACCUGACACUGGAAUUUUUAAUGAAGGUAUUAGGGUCAACAUUUAAUUCUAUAAGGCCUUUAAGAUUAUUUGAUACAUUAUCCACUCAUGAGGAAAUGGAGUUGCUUCUGAUUACAUGACAUUGAUUAUAUAAAAACUGCAUCUUAUUUUUCUGAGUAUCUGUUCCUUGUGUGUAUAUCCAGAAUUGUAUCUGCUUUUUCUAAGCUAUUUUUAAUUACCUGUUAUGUUUUUUGUCACUGUAUUCAACGCAGCUUGGAGAAAGGAAGUAAGAUUAUUUUUUAUUUGUAACUCACAAAAAGAAUUAUUAGGAAUACUUUUCUAUAUAAAACCUUUAGUUUUGGUUGUUAGAUCUUGACAAACAGUGGGGAAAGCUAUUCUGUUCCAUUAAAAUUUGAGAGUUCAGAACCAAAUUUUCAUUGGUCCUAUUCUCAAAUUGUAUUUGCAAACAUUAAUGCAAGUUAAAUUGUGUUUAUGUAAAUGGAAAAUGCAUUUAUCAUCUAUACCUGAUAUUAAAUUCAUAAUGAGACAAAACUGUCAGUAAAAGGAAAACGAAUAAUUUCUUGCUCUUCCAUCUUAAAGUGUCCAAAAGUUCCUGCUGUUUCUUGAUUGUAGAGCAAUGUGGUCUACCACUAGCAGAAGGGACAGGUUCUGAAGCUGAAUCUUUGUCAUGUUGAUGGUUCCCAUGAUAGGACUUUUCUCAUGUUUGGGAACUAAAUGUGCCUUUGAGAAGCUCUUUUCCUUCUUUUGUUCAUUGCGUGUCCUAGUGAACAAUAAAAUCAGUUUUAAAUGGAAUAAUCUUUCAUUGAGCAGAUGAGGGCCAGACUUGGUAACAUUCUCGUCAGAUACCUUUUGAUAGUGUUACAGGAUUUCCCUUUACAACUUUCCUAAGUGCAGCUCUCAAACUACCACAUGUGAACACCUAUAGUAACAGAAACCUUGAAAACAGCCAAUUAAAAAAAUGCCUUCAUAUAUUUUAUAUAAAAUGUAUUUGCUAGUGGAAUACUGCUUGACAAUACUCAACUAAAGAGACUCUAUUAUUAAAAUAGCAUUAUUUUUCUAGCAAUGAUAAGUCAGGCAAAGUUUGCCUGAAGGUGUGGGUUCUCAAACUUUGUGAUACUAUGAUCUGGAGUGCUGGAUGGCAGCCGGGGGAGCGGGAAGGGAGAGGAAUGGGGAGCUUGCAUGUGGCAGCCACUGCUACCAUUCACCACCCUGCACCCCCGUGCAUACCCCCUGGGAAUUUUGUGGCCCCCUUUUAAGUUGCUCGUGACCCCCCAGGUGGGGGGUCACGAUCCACAGUUUAAGAACCCAUUCCUUAAAGGGUUCUGAUACGAAGGAGUUUAAAAAGUCCUGAAUUCCCAGCUCCCUAGCUUGUUCUAAUUCUGCAAAUUGCUUCCCCUGUCUUCUUCAGACACACAGCUCUAGUAAUAUAAUUGGACCUUUAUUCUUCUACUUUUAUACCCAACUAAUGAUGGGGUAGAAGGAAUUCUAUGCGUCUAAACAAGGCAAUCACAUGGCAGUACUGGCAAAUAAAUGCAGAGAUCACCUUAAGUAAUAUAUAGGUGGCAAUUUGUUCUCAUGAAAUAUUAAUCCAAUAAUUUUAAAUAAAUUAGAAAUUAAUAGAAAUCAAGGUCUGUUUAUAAAGAGCUGACAUUGGAAAAGGGUGAAAGUAAUUAAUGUAGCUGAACAUAAUGUUCUUUAUGAAUUGUUUCACCACAUCUGCACGUGCCCUUUUUUUUUUGUACACUGAGAAAAUUUUACGCUGAGGGACAAUAAGCUAAAAAGCUUGUUGGAAAUUUGCUAGUGUCCUCAAGCACGUUCCUCACAAGAUGAAGAGGGCUAGGAACAGUAGCAAUGGCAGUGCCAGGGCUGACUCUAAUCAAAGAAAAGAACGAUAUUUCUCCAAACAGAAGUAAAACAAUCUGUGCUUCUAUGUGUAUGAGGCCCUGCCUACUGGUCCCAAAAUUGCAUCCUUUGUGUUGGCACCAUCCCAGUUACACCAAACUUAUGUUUCUGCAGCUGUUCUUUGUUUUCUGCCAUUUUUACUGAUGUAAUGAUGCCAUUUGGUCCAACAUUAUUAGUCUAUGACAUUCUCAUCUCUAGUCCUGUGACUGGGAGUGCAUUGCACAGGUCAGAUUCACUAAUGAUGGCAUUACAGUCAGAUCCUCCUUUGGGACAAAGCUGAGGGUCUAAUUCUGUUGUUUCUGUAUCUGCUAUUGUACAUUGAUAUUGUAUAUAUCCUUUCACAUCAAAACUCUGCCCAUUUUCUUGGUAGAGCUCUCGCUGAUAUUUGCUGCAAAGUGAUACUACUAUUCUGUGUCCUAUCUAUUAGCCUAGUAAAGAGUUAAUCAAAUGCAUCCCAACACCAGGGAGAAGAAGACUGUGGUCCUGCUGUUAUGCAAAAAAAAAAAUCUCUCUUUGUAGAAAAGGGAGUGGCUGUGCCCUGACCUUU